rnacentral:rRNA from 1 species
GAUGAACGCUGGCGGCGUGCCUAAUACAUGCAAGUCGAGCGAACAGACGAGGAGCUUGCUCCUCUGACGUUAGCGGCGGACGGGUGAGUAACACGUGGAUAACCUACCUAUAAGACUGGGAUAACUUCGGGAAACCGGAGCUAAUACCGGAUAAUAUAUUGAACCGCAUGGUUCAAUAGUGAACACGGUUUUGGCUGAACCUAUAGCUGGGUCCGCGGCGCAUUAGCUAGUUGGUAAGGUAACGGCUUACCAAGGCAACGAUGCGUAGCCGACCUGAGAGGGUGAUCGGCCACACUGGAACUGAGACACGGUCCAGACUCCUACGGGAGGCAGCAGUAGGGAAUCUUCCGCAAUGGGCGAAAGCCUGACGGAGCAACGCCGCGUGAGUGAUGAAGGUCUUCGGAUCGUAAAACUCUGUUAUUAGGGAAGAACAAAUGUGUAAGUAACUAUGCACGUCUUGACGGUACCUAAUCAGAAAGCCACGGCUAACUACGUG